CUAGUUUGACAUUGUGAAAAGACAUAGAGGGUGUAGCAUAAGUGGGAGCUUCGGCGCCGUUGAAAUACCACUACCUUUAUCGUCUUUUUACUUAUUCGAUUUGGGUUGUAUUGGGGGUUGUCGAAAAGUG
rnacentral:ncRNA from 1 species